GGAUCAAUAUAUCGGUCGUGCCCCUGUACGUACUGGUAUCAUUGAUUUCUCCUUUCUGACGAACAAUGAUGUCAUUAAUUUGGUGUUAUAGGGAGUUAGGACUGUUACUUUGAAAAAAUUAGAGUGUUUAAAGCAGGCAUUAGCUUGAAUACAUUGGCAUGGAAUAAUGAAAUAGGACGUUUGACCUUAUUUUGUUGGUUUCUAGGAUCGACGUAAUGAUUA
rnacentral:rRNA from 1 species